GGCGGACGGGUGAGUAAUGUAUAGGAACUUGCCUAGUAGUGGGGGGACAACGUGUGGAAACGCACGCUAAUACCGCAUACGCUCUACGGGGGAAAGCGGGGGAUCUUCGGACCUCGUGCUACUAGAUGGGCCUAUAUUGGAUUAGCUAGUUGGUAGGGUAAAGGCUUACCAAGGCGACGAUCCAUAGCUGGUUUGAGAGAAUGAUCAGCCACACUGGGACUGAGACACGGCCCAG
rnacentral:rRNA from 1 species